rnacentral:rRNA from 1 species
GUGCUCGAGUGGCGAACGGGUGAGUAACACGUGAGUAACCUGCCCUUGACUUUGGGAUAACUUCAGGAAACUGGGGCUAAUACCGGAUAGGAGCUCCUGCUGCAUGGUGGGGGUUGGAAAGUUUCGGCGGUUGGGGAUGGACUCGCGGCUUAUCAGCUUGUUGGUGGGGUAGUGGCUUACCAAGGCUUUGACGGGUAGCCGGCCUGAGAAGGUGACCGGCCACAUUGGGACUGAGAUACGGCCCGG